AUUUAUAUAGUAUAUUAAAUUACAUUUUAUUUCCAAUAAAAAAAAUUAAAACUUUUAAUAUAAAUA
rnacentral:tRNA from 1 species